GACGAACGCUGGCGGCGUGCCUAAUACAUGCAAGUUGAGCGCUGAAGGUUGGUACUUGUACCAACUGGAUGAGCAGCGAACGGGUGAGUAACGCGUGGGGAAUCUGCCUUUGAGCGGGGGACAACAUUUGGAAACGAAUGCUAAUACCGCAUAAAAACUUUCAACACAAUUUUUAAGUUUGAAAUAUGCAAUUGCAUCACUCAAAGAUGAUCCCGCGGUGUUUUAGCUAGUUGGUGAGGUAAAGGCUCACCAAGGCGAGGAUACAUAGCCAACCUGAGAGGAGGGGCGGCCACAUUGGGACGGAGACACGGCCCAAACUCCUUCGGGAAGCAGCAGGAGGGAAUCUUCGGCAAUGGACGAAAGUCUGACCGAGAAACGCCGCGUGAGUGAAGAAGGUUUUCGGAUCGGAAAACUCUGUUGGUAGAGAAGAACGUUGGUGAGAGUGGAAAGCUCAUCAAGUGACGGUAACUACCCAGAAAGGGACGGCUAACUACGUG
rnacentral:rRNA from 1 species